ensembl:lncRNA
AGGAUAAUGGCUUGGAACUGUUUAUGUGGGCUCCUCCGUGUCCUGCUCUGAUUCCCUCUGCCUGCGGAGAUUCCCAUAUUUCAUGACUGUGUGGCUGCUGACUCACUCAUUCCCUAUAGGGGUACCUUAACCUGGGCUGCAUCCUGUUUGCUCCGAAGGACAGUUUGACUUUAUCAGUAAGAACAACACACAUCUCGGGCCUCCUCAUCACGUUGAUGAGAAUGCGCAGACAGCCCGCAGAUGCGUUUGCUGUGCUGCGAGAUAAAUCAGAGGUAUCUCCUGGUGCUGCCGCAGAAGUCCC